AAUCAACGCUGGCGGCGUGCCUAACACAUGCAAGUCGAACGCGAGAGGGGCUUCGGCCCCGAUUGAGUGGCGAACGGGUGAGUAACGCGUGGGUGACCUACCUUCGAGUGGGGGAUAACGCCCCGAAAGGGACGCUAAUACCGCAUAACAUCCUGCUUUUGAAUGGGUGGAGAUCAAAGCCGGGGAUCGCAAGACCUGGCGCUUGAUGAGGGGCCCGCGUCUGAUUAGCUAGNGGUGAGGUAACGGCCCACCAAGGCAACGAUCAGUAUCCGGCCUGAGAGGGCGGACGGACACACUGGGACUGAGACACGGCCCAGACUCCUACGGGAGGCAGCAGUGGGGAAUUGUUCGCAAUGGGCGCAAGCCUGACGACGCAACGCCGCGUGGAGGAUGAAGGUCUUCGGAUUGUAAACUCCUGUUGCCCGGGACGAAUGGCUCCGACCUAACACGUCGGAGUGUGACGGUACCGGGUGAGGAAGCCCGGCUAACUCUGUGCCAGCCGCCGCAGUAAC
rnacentral:rRNA from 1 species